rnacentral:lncRNA from 1 species
GGGUGAUGUUGGUAUAAUGAUGACAUCUGGUGAGUUGACCUUGAAAGCAAGGUGGCAGAUGCAUCAGUUAUCAUAGGCCUUGAGAAACACAGGUUGCCUGUUGGUAUGUGAUUAUAAACAAGAACCUCAUUGGCUAGGACAGCAGCAUACUGAUUUGGAAAUGUAGAAGGCUGCAUCUCCAUUCCAACGUAACUGUUCUGUAAAGGAGAUGACGUGGUAUUGAGACGUAGUCAUUUUACUGAAGUUCCCAACUGAAGCACUUGCCUGGGUGUAGCUGCUAUUUGAGUGAACAUGAUCCAGAGCCAGCUGAUGUUCGAGUGAUCUGCUUCCGGUGAGCUGGCCUCCGAGUCCUAGAAAGGGAAUCCAGGAAAUUCUGGGGCGCCCCUUCCGAGGAGGUGGACAGCUGCUCCCUCCGGCGGGACUCGGGUUGAGGCCCAAUAUGGGCUGUGUCAGUUAUCCCUCUCCUUCCCGGCUAAUGCACCAAAUGUUAUGCUUCUUUAUCUCCUUUUAUCUUCCCCUCAAGGUUAUUAUGAGGAACAAAUUAAAUAAAAAUAUGUGAAAGUUCUUUAUAAACUGGAAUAACUGCUGUUUAAUUCACUGUAUCCUGAAAUUAUGAGUGGAC